rnacentral:rRNA from 1 species
GACGAACGCUGGCGGCGUGCUUAACACAUGCAAGUCGGACGGAAAGGCCCUGCUUUUGUGGGGUGCUCGAGUGGCGAACGGGUGAGUAACACGUGAGUAACCUGCCCUUGACUUUGGGAUAACUUCAGGAAACUGGGGCUAAUACCGGAUAGGAGCUCCUGCUGCAUGGUGGGGGUUGGAAAGUUUCGGCGGUUGGGGAUGGACUCGCGGCUUAUCAGCUUGUUGGUGGGGUAGUGGCUUACCAAGGCUUUGACGGGUAGCCGGCCUGAGAGGGUGACCGGCCACAUUGGGACUGAGAUACGGCCCAGACUCCUACGGGAGGCAGCAGUGGGGAAUAUUGCACAAUGGGCGGAAGCCUGAUGCAGCAACGCCGCGUGCGGGAUGACGGGCUUCGGGGUGUAAACCGCUUUCGCCUGUGACGAAGCGUGAGUGACGGUAAUGGGUAAAGAAGCACCGGCUAACUACGUG